rnacentral:rRNA from 1 species
UAGUCCUACGGGGGGCAGCAGUGGGGAAUAUUGCACAAUGGGGGGAACCCUGAUGCAGCGACGCCGCGUGGGUGAAGGAGCACCUCGGUGCGUAAAGCCCUAUCGGCAGGGAAGAAACAGACGGUACCUGACUAAGAAGCCCCGGCUAACUACGUGCCAGCAGCCGCGGUAAUACGUAGGGGGCAAGCGUUAUCCGGAUUUACUGGGUGUAAAGGGGGCGCAGACGGCGAUGCGAGCCAGGAGUGAAAGCCCGGGGCCCAACCCCGGGACUGCUCUUGGAACUGCGUGGCUGGAGUGCAGGAGGG